GAUGAAGAACGUAGCGAAAUGCGAUACGUAAUGUGAAUUGCAGAAUUCAGUGAAUCAUCGAGUCUUUGAACGCACAUUGCGCCCCCUGGUAUUCCGGGGGACAUGCCUGUCCGAGCGUCAUUGCUGCCCUCAAGCACGGCUUGUGUGUUGGGCCUCCGUCCUCCUCCCGGGGGACGGGCCCGAAAGGCAGCGGCGGCACCGCGUCCGGUCCUCGAGCGUAUGGGGCUUCGUCACCCGCUCUUGUAGGCCCGGCCGGCGCUUGCCGACACAUCAAUCUUUUUUCCAGGUUGACCUCGGAUCAGGUAGGGAUACCCGCUGAACUUAAGCAUAUCAAUAAGCGGAGGA
rnacentral:misc_RNA from 1 species